rnacentral:lncRNA from 10 species
CUGCCAUCUGAGUGCUGGCUGACUCUGGCUCGGCCGCCCUCCCUUGGCCGCGAAGGUCCCCACGAGCUCCGGGUUGCAGUUAUCCCUGCAAAGCUUGCCAGCUCUGGCCCAUAAAAGCCUCUCUGCAAAGCAGAGGAAUAGGCCCAUUUUGUUCUGAAAUACUAGUAUGGAUUUUUUAUCUUAAAGUGAGAAAAAAAAAAAAAAACUUUAGGAGCAGGGAAAUAAACUUUUAACCAUUUCAAUCAAUCAUAAAAUUACAGUUUAUUUUCCCCACCCUCUCCCAAGUAAAUUAAAUUCAAUGAAACAAUAGGUUCAAGUUACAACUAACAUUUAGGCAAAGCAGGUUUUUAGUGAAUUUGUCGAGUGAGCAGAUGACUCAUAGCAAUCACAGCUCAGUCAACAGCUUCGAAGCAGCUUGAGCACGCAGAGCGCAACGGUGUAAAGCAAAAUCUGUUGCCUUUGAACGGUUUUAAACGAAGCCGUGAGAAAACAAACACAUUUCGUGGAUUUUUUCUUUUUCUUUUUUAAGUCUGAGGCAUCUGCAAUGUGGAAUUCUUUGCAGUAAUUAAGAUUUGUGGAUGGGUGAAUUUUAGAAAUAUGAGUCCUUCAAGAUGUUUUGUUGGAAAUGUGGGAAAGGGGUCAUUGCUGAUAAUUGUGUGAUGAAACAGAAUUAUGAGCUCCUCUGGGCCAGGCUGCUCUUCUCUGAAGCUUUCUAAUGCCGUUGUAAACCUCUGGGAAAGCUUUCUGGAUUAUUCUCUCACCACAAGCACCCACAAGACAAACCGGACAAGCUGUUAAGCACAGACGGAAGUUGCAGAAAAGUUUAACACUGCCAGGGAGUGUGUCUCCAGAUGCACCAAGCUUGAGUGUGGCUGGCCCCACCUGGCUCAUGUGCCCCUUGGCAGGCUGCUUCCCAUCACGUUGUCCACAACACAUGCACCUGGGUUUGAUGUUAGACUCAAGAAAAGAUCUAUUUUCUUGCUUCCAACACCUCCCCUUGGUGACUCCCUUGGGCCCUCAUCCUCCUCUCCAUUGUUACAUCUCAAUGAGCAGAACCAGGACAUGAAGAGUUGUUCUCCAGUUGGCCGCCUUUUCCCUCUUCCUUGGGCUCCAUCCCACCCGGUCGUGAAGGUACUGUGGAAUCACGACUGCUGACAGCCUCCCUCUGGCCACGCCACCCAUCUCCUCCAUACUUGGACACACUUGCUUCAUCAUCUCUCUGGAGCCCAGUGAGGCUUCACUCACCACCUGCUUUGCCUCCAUCAACUUGAAGCCCUCCUGCCUCCUCACCUUGGAACUGCUCCCCACGGGGAGCCCAUCCUCGGAGCCUUGCUUCCAUGGGAAGGUGACUGUCUCUCCAAACGUCAGCCCAUUUCAAGACUGGAGAUGAUGUUGCAGACACAGAGCUGGUCUUGGGAGCACCCGUAAGAGACAUAUGCGCAGAGCUUCCCGAGGCACACCCACUUGGCACACCAGUGGUUUGUGCCUAUGCAGGGUUUAAAGAAAUGGAGUUUGGAGAAUUGGGCCAAAACCACAAAUGGAAUCAGCCCUUUCUGAUGAAAUCAUCUGAUUUUCUCAGAAAGCUGCUGGAGGUGAUGGAAACUUGGAAAGAUGUCGGUGGCUUUUGAGACAUGGGAUUUGACAAGGGAACUGCAUCCAACAGUUUGUCAGAGGAGUUCCGAGGUGGCUCCUCUGAGAACACCUAUUUUGUUCUUUCCCUUCUCCAUGAUAUGAAGUCUCGCUCUGUCGGCCAGGCUGGAGUGCAUUAUCCAGAGCUGUUGGACAAAUCCAGAGCUGUUAUUGUACCUUCAGGUGUCAUGUGGAAUGGAAGAUGCUAUGGAAGCUGAUUGGAACUGUGAGGAACUGAAAUCAUCUCCACCUGGAGCAAUUAAACAUGGACCUUGGAAGCCUUGCCUUUGAGAGGCCCAGGGCAACCUGUCCUACCUACCAGCUGCCCCAUCAGGGGGUAAUCCACUGAUCACCUCCCUCUGUUGGCACAGCAAUCCUGACACCUACAUCUGUGGGGCAACCUUCCCUAUCACCUGCACCUUUUGGAAUUUUGACUCCACCGUGGAGCCUAAGUGAAGCAUGGAGUCUGGGAAAACAAAGCAGAAGCCACUUAUUUGAAGAAAGAGAAAAUCCCACCCAUCCUUUCACCGUGAACCUGGAGUCCCACGGCUAGCUGCUUAGCUGGCUGCACUGUCGCGUUAAAUAGUUUCCCUGGAAGAGAAAUUGUCCUCUUAGAUUUUCAUUCGUUUUGUUGUUUCCUGUGGAUUUUGGGGAGAGGAGGAGCAUCUCCCCUGCACAGCUGCAAACUCAGGUUAGCUGGGUUAUACUCCUGUGCCGGAGCUUGCAGCAGGUGAUCAG